AGCUCCAAGAGCGUAUAUUAAAGUUGUUGCGGUUAAAAGCUCGUAGUUGGGUUUCUGUCGAGCCCGACCGGUCCGCCCACUGGGUGAGAAUCUGGCUCGUGCUGGACAUCUUCUUGGCAUAUCAGUCUGCACUUCAUUGUGUGUUCUGAGAUCCUUGACUUUUACUUUGAGGAAAUUAGAGUGUUCCAAGCAGGCGUACGCCUUGCAUAUAUUAGCAUGGAAUAAUACGAUAGGACCACGGUUCUAUUUUGUUGGUUUCUAGAUUCGUGGUAAUGAUUAAUAGGAAUGGUCGGGGGCAUUCAUAUUUAACUGUCAGAGGUGAAAUUCUUGGAUUUGUUAAAGAUGGACUACUGCGAAAGCAUUUGCCAAGGAUGUUUUCA
rnacentral:rRNA from 1 species